AGCAGCCGCGGUAAUUCCAGCUCCAAUAGCGUAUAUUAAAGUUGUUGCAGUUAAAAAGCUCGUAGUUGAAUUUCGGGGUCAGUAGGUUGGUCGUGCCACGGGUAUGAACUGGUCUCACUGAUUCCUCCUUCCUGAUGAACCGUAAUGCCAUUAAUUUGGUGUUGCGGGGAGACUGGACUGUUACUUUGAAAAAAUUAGAGUGUUUAAAGCAGGCUAACACUUGAAUACAUUAGCAUGGAAUAAUGAAAUAGGACGUUCGGUCUUAUUUUGUUGGUUUCUAAGAUUGACGUAAUGAUUAAUAGGGAUAGUUGGGGGCAUUAGUAUUCAAUUGUCAGAGGUGAAAUUCUUGGAUUUAUUGAAGACUAACUACUGCGAAAGCAUUUGCCAAGGAUGUUUUCAUUAAUCAAGAACGAAGUUAGGGAUCGAAGACGAUCAGAUACCGUCGUAGUCUUAACCAUAAACUAUGCCGACUAGGGAUCGGAUGAUGUUAAUUUUUAAUGUACUCAUUCGGCGCCUUACG
rnacentral:rRNA from 1 species